GAUGAACGCUGGCGGCGUGCCUAAUACAUGCAAGUCGAGCGAACAGACGAGGAGCUUGCUCCUCUGACGUUAGCGGCGGACGGGUGAGUAACACGUGGAUAACCUACCUAUAAGACUGGGAUAACUUCGGGAAACCGGAGCUAAUACCGGAUAAUAUAUUGAACCGCAUGGUUCAAUAGUGAAAGACGGUUUUGCUGUCACUUAUAGAUGGAUCCGCGCCGCAUUAGCUAGUUGGUAAGGUAACGGCUUACCAAGGCAACGAUGCGUAGCCGACCUGAGAGGGUGAUCGGCCACACUGGAACUGAGACACGGUCCAGUCUCCUUCGGGAGGCAGCAGAAGGGAAUGUGCCGCAAUGGGCGAGAGCUUUGCGGAGCAGCGCCGCGUGAGUGAUGAAGGUCUUCGGAUCGUAAAGCUCUGUUAUUAGGGAAGAACAAAUGUGUAAGUAACUAUGCACGUCUUGACGGUACCUAGUCAGAAAGCCACGGCUAACUACGUG
rnacentral:rRNA from 1 species